AACAGGAAGACCAGAGCGUCUGCCAAAUGCCAUUAAUGUAAUGUACCUGCUGCUGCUCACUGGAUGUUUUUUGUUUUUCACACAAUUCUCUGCAAACUCUAGAGACUGUUGUGUGUGAAAAUCCCAGGAGACCAGCAGUUUCUGAGAUACUCAAAACACCCCGUCUGGCACCAACAAUCAUUCCAUGGUCAAAGUCACUUAGAUCACAUUUCUUCCCCAUUCUGACAUUUGACCGAGGAGCCUCCUCCCAGCCCACAUCAGCUGUACAGUGUCUGUUUCAAGCAGCUGUCCAGUGGGGAUUGGUUGAUGCCCUCGUAGGGCAUUCUGGGAAGACUGGGAGACCGGGAUGUAGGGCAAGCAUCUGGUUCGAAUGUGAAACUUGGCAGAGAACGGCCCUGACUCGAGCCCUGUGAUGUGGGGGGCUGUCGCCGUGCCAGCCUUGGAUGUGUCUGAUUGCUGGACAGAUCCAGAAUGUGCUUGGCAGAGGGGAACCAUGUUCUGCUGCUCUGUCACCUGACUGCGGGUCUUGCCCCAGCCACACCACCACACAGUGUCUGGGGGAAGGCCACUACUGGCAGGAGGGACCUAACCUCAAAAUCUACCAGCAUCAACUCCAGCCUCCCCCCCCUCCUCCCCCAACCACCACCUGCAGCCAGGAGGUGCACUGAAAUGAAUGUGCCUCCGAGUUAUUCAUUUCCAUGGCGAUUUAUGUUAUGGGAUGGUAAUAUUAUUCUCCUGAAUGGCAAUCAAUCCAAGAGAAUAAUCUCCGCGAUUCUAAGGGAGUGUCCAAACAGAAAAAUUAAAUGACUGUGUGAUUCCACAGCACAACACAGAUAAUUUGCUCCACUUAACUGUCUUUAGUCUCUUCCGCGCCACUCAAUCUGAGAAUAUCUAAUAUCUGAAGCUUAUUUUAAAAACGAAUUUGGAUAGUCUCACAGGAGCGCAAAUGGAGCCAGGCGUAUGUGUGCAUUUGUGCACACAUAUGUGUGUCUGCAUGUAUGUAAGGAUGUGUGUUUGUGCGCACGCGUGUUCUUGUGUGAAUGCGUUUUCUACAUUUGCUUGAGCAUAAUGUACAUGUAUGUCCAUGUGUGUGUGUGUUCUUAUCUGUACAUGCAUGUCGAGCUGAGACACAGGGACUAGGGAUACGAGCUAAAUACAAUUUAUGAUACAUAGUCUAUUGUAUCAAUGCCAACAUAUUUAUAUUGCAUUUGGUGUGCAGUAUUUUCACCACUAAUAGUGGCUAUCUUGAACAUGUGAAUAGUGGACAUGUGCAGUUGUAUACAGUAGAAUAGCUAUUCAAUUUAGAUGUGCUUCAUGCACUUCAUGUUUUUGAUGCUGUCAAACAAAAUAUUUUCAUGUUUGUCUGUGCUAUACUGUCAUUUUCACAAAUAGUACAUUGUACAUUUUUAGUUUGGACAAUUUUCGGCAUUAUUAAAAUUAAAAUGCUUAUAUCAUAUUGUAAUCUUACAUAAAAUUUACUUAUGUAAAGUAAA